UAUUUUCUGUAGAGAUGGGGUUUCACCAUGUUGGCCAGGCUACCCUUGAACUCCUGACCGCAGGUGAUCCUCCUGCCUCGGCCUCCCAAAGUGCUGAGAUUACAGGCAUGAGCCCAGCUCCAGUUUCUAAAUAACUUGCUUGUAUAGCUAUUCCUUGAUUUUUCUAUUUUAGAUACGAUCUAUGAUUUCUUAAAACAGGAAAUGAGGAUUUAACUUUUACACCCCCACACAAAACUCUUUCCCUUCCCCUAUCCUCUCAAUACAAUUAUAUCAUAAAAUUUAGAAUUAAGUAUUUAUAAUAUAUAUAUUUUUUGAGACAGGGUCUCAGUCUCACUCUGUCUCCCAGGCUGGAGUGCAGUGGUGCAGUCAUAGCUCACUUCAGCCUCCAAUUCCUGGACUCAAGCCAUCCUCCUGCCUCGGCCUCCAGAGUAGCUGGGACUAGAGGCAUGUGCCAGUGUGGGCAGCUAAUUUUUAAAAUUUUUUUGUAGAGACAGGGGUCUCGUAUGUUGCCCAAACUGGUCUUGAACUCCUGGUUUCAAGUGAUUCUCAUGCCUCAGCCUCCUAAAGUGCUGGGAUUACAGGCAUGAGCCACCACUCCAAGCCCCUAAGUGUCCGUUCUUUGCAUUCCCUUGGCACUCCGUGUACACCUGCCACUGUUACAUCAGUUGUUGUCUGCUGCAUAACAAACUAUCUCAGAGCGUAGUGGCUUAAAACAAUUUUCAUGUAUUCUCUCGCAGUUCUGUGGAUCAGGAAUUCAGGGCAUGACGGGAUUGGCUUGGCUCUGCUCCACGACGUGUGGGGCCUCAGCUGGAAGACCGGAAGACUGGAGGGCUGACGUUACCUGCAGGCUUCAUGGAGGCUGGAGGCUUGGUUUCCCAGAUGGCUCACUCACACGGCAGACUUUGUGCUCCAUCAGUUGAAGAGUAGGAUGAAGAAAAAAAAAAAAGGUUACAUGAAGAUGAUGGAAUUAUAAUCAGGCCUUGAAGAACGGAGACAAUUCCAGCCAUUGUUGUAGAUGUGGAGGCUGAAGGACAUUCCAAUUUGAAGGAACAGAAGAUGGGAUCUCACUCUGCUGCCCAGGCUGGUCUCCUCCUGCCUUGGCCUCCCAAAGUGUUGGAAUUACAAGUGUGAGCCACUGUGCCUGGCCCUGAAUAAGUUUCUUGACCCAGAGUUCCUGAAGAGGAGGAUGGGAACCUUGGAGGCUGUUUCUCCAGGCUGAUGGAGUUUCGCUCUUGUUGCCCAGGCUAGAGUGCAAUGGCGCGAUCUCAGCUCACUGCAACCUCUGCCUCCUGGGUUCAAGCAAUUCUCCUGCCUCAUCCUCCUGAGUAGCUGAGAUUACAGUGAUGGAGUCUUGUUGUGUUGCCCAGCCUGGCGUCUAACCCCUGGCCUCAAGCGAUCUUCCUGCCUUGGCCCCCCAAAGUGCUGGAAGUAUAGGCAUGAGUCACCACGCCCAGCCAAAUUUGUGUCUUAUUUUUAAUAAAUUUGGACGUGGUCGUAAUUUAAAGAGUUAAAUACUUCCAAAGACAUGUUAGAAAAAAGAGAAGAUCCUUUUCAACUCUCCUCCAUUUUCAGCUCCUCAGAAGUAAGCAUUUUUUCAGUUCUUAUAGCUGAUCUUUUGUUAUUUGGUUUAUAUUUAUAUGUCUAAAUAAUACAGUUAUGUCUUUAGCUCUUGGUUUUUUUUUUCAGUAUUACCUAUUAUCUAUUGACUUACCGUGUGGACAGUGAGGGUUAGCUCUCUUUCACUUCCCAGUCACACACACCAGUCACACACACACACACCAGUCACACACACACACACCAGUCACACACACACACACAC
rnacentral:lncRNA from 1 species